rnacentral:lncRNA from 1 species
UGUGGCCAAUGCACCUAUUGUGUCCCUGCUGCAGAAAGGAGCCUGCCGAUUGGCCACUGUCUGCAGCACAUAGCACUGGCUGGUUAUAAAGGACUUGUCUAGGGGAGAGCCUGUAGGUACUCCAUUGUCUGGUAAAGUUCAUAUGACUGCAUUCUUUUUUGCAAGGGGGGUGGAGGGAGAGUGGCGAAGGAGGGGGUGUCAGCUCAACUGUAAAAGCUGCACAGAUUUUUUUCUUUCUCUCUCUCUCUCUGCCUCUCCAUAGAUCGUUUCUGUUUCAUGCCCUGUCUCAUUUUGCAUAGCUAAAAAAGAAUGCUAAUUAAGAUCCCUUGUCUUAACCUGAAAAAUAAUGACUUGGCUGUAAUUAGAAAUCUGGUGAGAGUUUAAAAUUCUGGUACGGGACCAAAAACAUCAGUUACGGUACUUAGGAAGAAAAUGAAGAAUUAUUUUUUUGUAAUCAAGAUGGAUCUGAGAACGCUGUCUGGGCUUGGUGCCAAGGGCUGGUAUUUCACAGCAGCGACCGCCUCACAGACGAGCUGUGGGAAGCAGGAGGGAGACUCUCUCUUAGGGUGCCACUACUAUGGAGACACAGCUGGGCUGAACAAGAUUUGCUUCAAACAACAACAAGAGAGACAGAAAGUAUCUGGUUCAACCGCUGCCUGAGCAGGCAGGCACCAGAAGAGCUAGCAGCCAAUCCGGCCAUGCUCGAAGCCAGCUCUGCAGCUCAGCCAAUCAGUGACAUCACUGGUGAGAAACUCAUUUACAUCAUGCAGUAAUGAACUUUGUUUAACAUAGCCUUCCCCCUUUCCUGUCACCCCCCCUUUCCAUAUUAGGCCCUUCCAUUAAUUAUUCUGCUGGCAUAAUUUAAACCGCUAUGCAAAAAUGUGGCUACAUUCUCUCUGAUAGCUUUUACCUUUUAUUUUCCCCAUCGGUGUCUGCUGUCACUGAAAGUAAUUCUGGGUACAAUUCUAUUUUGUUUUGAACUUGUAAAAUUAUAUUCUCUUUCUUAAAAAAAUUCUUAACAACAUGAAACCUCCGUUUAUUUUGUCUGAUCCCUCUUCUUAUGAGUGAAUACAUGCUUCUGCAAGUUGGGAUUCAGAACUGUACAAGGUAAUAG